CACGUAGGGGGCAAGCGUUGUCCGGAUUUAUUGGGCGUAAAGAGCUCGUAGGUCGGUUCGGUAAGUCAGGUGUGAAACCUCCAGGCUCAACCUGGAGACGCCACUUGAUACUGCUGUGACUGGAGUCCGGUAGGGGAGCGUGGAAUUCCUGGUGUAGCGGUGAAAUGCGCAGAUAUCAGGAGGAACACCGGUGGCGAAGGCGGGUCUCUGGGCCGUAACUGACGCUGAGGAGCGAAAGCAUGGGGAGCGAACAGG
rnacentral:rRNA from 1 species